AUGAACGCUGGUGACGUGCCUAAUACAUGCAAGUCGAGCGAACGGACGAGAAGCUUGCUUCUCUGAUGUUAGCGGCGGACGGGUGAGUAACACGUGGAUAACCUACCUAUAAGACUGGGAUAACUUCGGGAAACCGGAGCUAAUACCGGAUAAUAUUUUGAACCGCAUGGUUCAAAAGUGAAAGACGGUCUUGCUGUCACUUAUAGAUGGAUCCGCGCUGCAUUAGCUAGUUGGUAAGGUAACGGCUUACCAAGGCAACGAUGCAUAGCCGACCUGAGAGGGUGAUCGGCCACACUGGAACUGAGACACGGUCCAGACUCCUACGGGAGGCAGCAGUAGGGAAUCUUCCGCAAUGGGCGAAAGCCUGACGGAGCAACGCCGCGUGAGUGAUGAAGGUCUUCGGAUCGUAAAACUCUGUUAUUAGGGAAGAACAUAUGUGUAAGUAACUGUGCACAUCUUGACGGUACCUAAUCAGAAAGCCACGGCUAACUACGUG
rnacentral:rRNA from 1 species